GUCGUGGAGAUCCUGCAGGAGCUCAGGAAGGCGCACGCGGGCGAGGCCAAGCGGCUGCACGGCCCGGGCCUGGGCCGCCGGGAGCUGUCGGAGUCGGACGGCGCGGGGCGCCCCCUCCCCGAGGAGCAGAGGGUCGAAAUUGUUCCUCGAGAUCUGAGGAUGAAGGACAAGUUUCUAAAGCACCUUACAGGCCCCCUUUAUUUCAGUCCCAAGUGCAGCAAACACUUCCACAGGCUGUACCACAACACCAGGGACUGCACCGUCCCCGCAUACUACAAGCGAUGCGCCCGGCUCCUGACCCGGCUGGCCGUCAGCCCCGCGUGCGUGGACGGAUGAGCGGUGAGCGGAGCACAGGACCCCGAGCCCACGACCCACGAGAAGUGCCUUGAGGACCAACGGGAACGGAGCCUGCCGCCUGCGUGCACACGUCGCCUCCACAAGAGAUUUAUUUUUGCAGACAGACUCUCCUUUACCCUGAGUUUUGUGGCUGCUGACCCUGUCGGCACAGUCCGUGAGCACAUCGGAGGGCGACGCCUGCCGGGCGUGAUUUUGGGGGAAGAAGCAGACGCUCCACACUUGAGGCGUAGUGCGCUGGAAAAUGACAAAGCUACUUCAUUUUCCUGAUUAGGUGAAAUCUCAAAGAGUAUUUCUUUAGAAACAUAGAGUCUGAAACUAUAUUUUCAUAUAGCAUAUGGUAUGAUUUAAUAUUUUUGUUACUUUUACAAUUAAAUUCCCAGAGUAUUAUUUGGAACUGCAUGAAUAAACAACAACAACAACAAAAAA